ACCACUUGAGUUUUGUCUGGUUCGGCAGGCCUAAGAGGGGCCGUAUGAUGUUUUGGUGAUAUGAGCCUAAGGCCUUUGGAUUUUAAGUAUUGUUUGAGUUGCUUUGCAGGUUAGGUUGAUUCUAGAUACAGGGGAAACUCCACCGAUUUCUGACUUAAAUUAUGAUGUCCUUGACUCUUUAAAUUCCUAUUUUGUGUUAAUAUUAAUAAAAUCCAUGCAUAUAAUUGUUUAGGUGAAUAGAGUCUGCCUUUCUCUUCUGCCCAGCCACCGCAGUGAUUUCUG
rnacentral:misc_RNA from 1 species